GCCGAACGCGCUGGCGCUCGCCUGUAAUCCCAGCGGCUUGGGAGGCGGAGGCAGGAGGAUUGCGAGUUCAAAGCCAACCUCAGAAAUUUAGCGAAGCUCUAAGCAACUCAGUGAGACCCUGUCUCUA
rnacentral:sRNA from 1 species